UACGGGGGGGGCAAGCGUUGUUCGGAAUUACUGGGCGUAAAGGGCUCGUAGGUGGCCAACUAAGUCAGACGUGAAAUCCCUCGGCUUAACCGGGGAACUGCGUCUGAUACUGGAUGGCUUGAGUUUGGGAGAGGGACGCGGAAUUCCAGGUGUAGCGGUGAAAUGCGUAGAUAUCUGGAGGAACACCAAUGGCGAAAGCAGCUCUCUGGGACGGUACUGACGCUGAGACGCGAAAGCGUGGGGAGCGAACAGG
rnacentral:rRNA from 1 species